GGAUUAGAUACCCUGGUAGUCUACGCCGUAAACGAUGCGCACUAGGUACGAGAAUCUCUGACGAUCUUCGUGCCGCAGCAAAAGUGCUAAGUGCGCCGCCUGGGGAGUACGGCCGCAAGGCCAAAACUCAAAGGAAUUGACGGGGGCUCACACAAGCGGUGGAGCAUGUGGAUUAAUUCGAAACAACGCGAAGAACCUUACCUGGGUUUGACAUGCACGGAUGCCCUUUUCGAAAGAAGAGUAAGCUGCCUUCGGGUGAAACGUGCACAGGUGCUGCAUGGCUGUCGUCAGUUCGUGCCG
rnacentral:rRNA from 1 species